CUGUAUUUAGGGAGUUCAUGGGUGAGAUUUCCUUUGUUAAAGUCCCCGAGGACAAUAACUAAAGAGUCCGGGUUGGUCCGCUCCACACGCCGUAUCUGGUCGGCGAGUGUCCGCUGAGCCUCGUGCACGUUGCCCGCCGGCGGCAUGUAAACACCGACCAGGAUGAAUGAAGCGAACUCGCGGGGGGAAUAAAAGGGUUUGCAGUUGACGAAAAAAGUUUCCAGAUCAGGAGAACAGUGUUGUAGGAUCACCGUUACGUCGUAAGGACCGUGCCUUAGUGGUCCACGUGCUGCCUCCUUUAACAAAUGCAGAGGCUGAACCGAGCGGUCUCCCAAAUGAGAGGGUCUGGCCUACGGGGGGGCAUUUCCUGCUUGUGUCAUCAGCUUUUCAACCUGCCGUUCCGUUGCCUAGCAACCUGCUGCACUUGAUAAAAUACAGCCAGAGACGGUAAUCUUCUUAUUUCAUUUAGGAAGAUAUACCUCCCCUCAGAUUAUGAUAUUUCAGGCGGAGACGAGAACAAUUUUCUGGUCAUUUUAAAUUAAAAUCUGUUAAGCCAUGUAGGCUAAUAUUGCAAUCUUGAGAGAGAGGAUAUCAAUUAUCAUGUCAGCAAACAUGUUUAUUAACUUGGGUGCAGACGUUUUAUUUUUUCUUGCAUAUGAUAUGAGGUACUUUAACUGUAACCAUAAGGUAUUACAAAAUAUUUCCAACUUACAGUAGCUGAAUGUCUGUUCCCUCACUACACACAGUUCUCCCCUUCAGCGUGAAGAACAAAGCUGCUCCCUGAAACAAAACCAAAGGUAUACUUAGUUUAUAAUCACACCAAAAAACAAAAGGAGCAAAGCAACCAAGUAAAGUUUCUUUGUGUAUUUAUUCCUCAACUUUUGUAAUGUUACUGGCCAUAGAAAGUGAUAUUUCAGGUCCAUAACGUAUCUACUGUAACUAGAGCUUACUUUGAUUCAUUUAAACCAACUCAUGCUCUUAAGAAUUCUAAAAAUAACCAAAUGGGCAUUAAUAAACAAAUUUUGUGCUACUGGUGACUAGGCCAGCAGGACAAGAAAGAGGAGGGGAAACAGGCUCCGGUGCUCCACACACACAAACACACACACCAAACAUUAUAAAUCAAAGUCAAAAGCAUACAAUUACUGAGAAUAAAUGUAAAGUGGAAGAAACUACAGUCAAACAAACAACGGAGAGGGUGAGGAGCAGGUGAGAGGCCUGGUCAACAGACCCACCACCGCCUGGGCAGCCACGCUGCUGCCAGCCUCAGUUUAAUAAAAAGUAACCUUCUGGGUAAAGAACCACAGAACAGAAACAAAAUGUAGUAAAACAAAACAGCAAGGGCUUCCAAUCCCAGCCUGGAUUUUGUGGUUCCUUCCACCUGGGCCGGCUCACUCCUGGUUUGGGCCUGAGGAGCUGGAUUUGGGCCAGAAAGAAAAUAAUUUUUCUAAAAACUGAGAAGAGAAACACCUACCAGCUUAAUGGAUUGUCACGACGGGCCCUGACGCCGAAAGGACACGCAUGCUGACAGCAGCUCCAUUAUGUGCAGCUUUUACACCCUGUCUAUUGGGUGAACCAGGAAGUAGGAGGUACCAAAGCCUGCUUCAACCCACAGUAGCUCAGGAGGGACGAUUCCUCACUGGCUGCACAUAGCUUGAAACUCACAGAUUCUCUGGCACACCCUCAGAAUAUGUGAGGGUUCAGGGACGUCCCACUGUGAAAUCUUUGUGUUUCAGUGCCCUAACCCUAACCCUUCAAAUCACUCAAUCAAUAGCCACAAUUAUACACAUUUUAUUUUGCCGAUGUGAUAUCUUAGCGCUUUCCCAUUUAUAUUUUCCCUAACAGUUCACACUCAUGUGUUUACAAGGAGAUUUCAGUUAUUCCCUGAGGGUUCAGAGUUCAUGGCCUUAGGGGGAGACAUUGGGAUUGGGCUAGACACUCGCAGAGGGCAUAAUAACAUGGCAACAGCAGCUUUCUUCUAUAUUUUUUGGAUUACCUGCAGAAAUACUAAUUGGCUACAGCAGAGUUAGCUGGAAAAAUCUUUUGUCAUAAAAGACUUUGGAGUCAACGGUUGAUGAGUUUUCGCCUUUUACAUUGUAGUAAACAGCAUUGCUGAAAUAAUAAUUACUUGCAAUUCUAAUGUGAAAACAUCUAUAUUGCGGAUUUUUUAUAGUUCAAUAUAAGUCCAUGAACAGUGACAUGUUUUUUUUCCUCCUGUAAAGUUUACCAUAGAUAUAUAGAUAUAUAUAUAAUACCACAAUCUGUAUGCAGGAGACAGUGGGUUGAAAAACAGUGGGUGUGUCGAGUGCAGGGAGUUAAAAUGCUUCUUUUUAUGGUAACACAGAAUGGGAGCUGGUGUUCUGACGGAGGAGCAGCAUGUGUCUAGAUUAAGGCACAUUUACGUAUAGCAUAUGAUAUUCUUUACCCUGGUUUAGAAGUAUUCUCGCCGGGACGCUUAUGAGAGAACACAAAUAGACUAUGGUUUCCCCUCGUCUUGAUCUCUCUCUCCCUUUCCCUCCCCGCCGUUUCAAGCUUUUUCACCUCAUAUAAACCCAGCCGGUGGUGGCGAUGGGGGGGCGCCCGUCUGCGGCAGGACCGGCUGGACCCUGGUUUGAAGUGCUGAUGAGCAGCAGAUCUGUUGCUGCAUGGGGCCUGCCUGUAUCUGGACCAAUACAGAGCUGUGUAACGUCAAAACAAAUCCUCCACUUUCCUUUUCACGUCACAGUUUCACAUAAUGAUGACGGUAAGCUAUAAUGAAACCCGGUCUACGGCCGAUCUAAGGAACCUUAAUUAUAUACACAUAUACAUUAUAUACAAGUUAAUUUAUUUAUUUAUUAAGUUGUGAUCCUGCUGUGAUAUUGUUUUUCAGAAAUGCACUUGGGGAAUUUAAGUGAGACACCCAAGGGAUUAAAAACCUAAAUAUAAACUUUUUCUUAACAGUUGGGAAACACAGUGUGAAAGAAAGAUGCUCUGAAUCAAGGCAGCAUCAAUAUGCAUCUUAUUCCGACUGUCGGUAUGUUUGUACCCGAUAAUUAUCCUCAGAACACACAUUAGACGUUUUAAAUAACAAAAAAUAAAAGAUAUGGUUUUGAGGCCUUAUAAAGUUAUGGAGGACCUGAUGCCUGGCAGAUGGCAAUCCUCUUUGUGAGCCUUUUUUACAAGCUGAAAUGAAAUCAAUAUUUUAAUACAACAUUUUCAUUUACAUUUUAAUAAAAAAAAUGCCUAAAUAGAGCUGCAGGAAAGUGAAUCACACGUACUUUAAAGUCACUGAUGAAAUUGUGAAAAACACAAAGGAUUUCUAAUCUGCAGCACAUUAUGCAAAUGUGCAAACAUAAAUAAAAUGGACGUGGUUCAAGUUGAUACAAUCUAUUGCCUUUCUUACGGGUUCAUAGUGAUACAGUAUAUAAUGAGGAUACCGCUUCUCUACUUCGACAACAUUCCCCAUAUGAUUCUGUUUGUUUACAUCGAUUAAUAGUGCACAGUUUUCAUGUGUGUUAUUCAUCUCCAACAUGUAAAGCGUAUUUUCUCUCAAAUCCAAAUUACAUUCCAAUGCAAAUGUGAAGAAUUGAAUCAAUGUGCUAUGAUUUAAAGUAGAGACAGCAUUCAAACACUCAGCAGUCCGCUAACUCAUUGCUCUCGCUACCAAUGUACUGUAUGUUGGGCUGGACAGAACUGUGACAAAAUUUAACUGUGUUCUCUGUUGCAGAUACACUGUAUGUUUUUACAAGUAAAAAAUGUAUUCUCCACAGCAUCAUCCCUUAUUAUAUAUAUAUUUAGAUAUACUGUUAUGUCUUUUAACAACAGGCUUUUAUUUUUGGAAAUGAUGUUGCCAGUGGAUCCUGUUCCCAGUGGUCAGCCCUUUUCCAGCUUUAUUACAGUAUUCAAUAUCAAAUAAAAAACUGCUUGAAAUGAAACCUUUCUGUUAUUCUCAGUGUUUUUCAUAGAGACAAUUGAAAUCAAAGAUCAGAAGAAUUUGCUAGCCUGCAAUCACAGAAAACCGUUUUGAGGUGUUUUUGAAAGAUCCUGUUUUACUGUGAAACUGAAUUUAAAAACAUCUGUGUGCAUAUUGUAUUGCCAGGGUAAAUGCAAGGCUAUCAUUGGACCUGAGGCAAUAUUUUUGUUGCUGAGAAAUUGUAAUACUUUUUAUAACUUUCACCAAUAACUUUUGAGUGAACUCGUUUUACACCACAUUCCUAGAAGGAGACAGAGAGUGUGUGGGUGUUUGUGUUUGCAUGCACAGGUCGUGCCUCUUUGUAGUACAGAAUUAAGUGUACACCAGUUGUGGCUGUUAUUCUGCUUCUGCUUGAGAGUGAAAAUUGUUUCCCCAGUUGCAAUGAUAUUGAACCAAUUUGUAAAAAACGGUUAAAGAUUUAAAAUGUAUCUAAUAUUUUGCUUUUUGAGCCAACAUUAGCCUUCAACUUUCAAGUUGUAUUUGUUUGAUGGUUUCAGAACAACAUUAUAAAGCAUCACACCCCUUAUCCUUGUCUCACUUCCACUGGUUUGUUUGUAUCAGUUGUAUAAAAUAAUCUUGCAAUAUGAUAUAUUAGUGUUACAAAGAAAGUUUGGCAAAUGUCAUAACCACAUUGUUAAGUUAUAGUAAAUGGAGGAAUUUAAACAUGUCUGCAUAUACAUGCAAUAGCAGUUCAGAGUACUUCAUAUAAAUGAAGGUUAGGUUACAGGCGAGAGGGGGUGUCAUCACACGUCUCAACCAAUGAGAGCUGGGAGAGGGGGUCGGGGGGGGCAAAUCACAUGAAACAAAACAGAAGAACUGGCCGAGAAAAGAAAAAAGGUGUCAAUCUCUUACUUGGACAUUUUUAUUUUAACCAAACCAAAAUGAUGUAUAACCUGCAUCACUGAAAGUGAGAUUCUCCAUUCUUAAAAAGUCCCUGUACGGUGAAUCCCAGCUGUGUACCCAGUGCAGGACCACUUCACUUCACUCUGACAGGGAUACCUACUACUGAUCAUAGAUUAUUGAUAGAUAGAUAGAUUAUUGAUGUAUGCAGUAGAUAGAUUAAAAAUUAGAUUCAGAAAUGUUACCCUGCCUGUUAAAAUGCUUUUAAUCGUGUUAACAUUUUUUAAUUUUUUUUAUUGCAUUAAUGUUUACGUUGAGAUUUACAAAAUAUAUUUUAACUGCUACUUUGUUAAGGGAAUGCUGGGAAUUCAAAUUGUUUGCAUAAAUAAGAGUGCACUAUACAUUAUUUUGGAAUGAUCUAAUUCUGCCCUUAACCCUGUUUAAUUACGAUUAAUCCCAAAAAAUCAUGCAAUCAAUUGUAAUCGCAACCCAGUACUAAUAUUUAUGUAUAUUUACAUAUAUAGGCUUAACCUUGUACAAACUUCAAGAUGAAGGGAUAGUGUGGUUGAAGCAGUUGACCAGCUGAUAACCGCCCCGACCGCCCCUGUCUUUGCAGCGGCAUCUUUGGUUCGUACUGUUAGGGCUGUUAGCACCACUAGCUACAUACCACCAGCUUCUGCAAUAUGAUGUUGAGAACAGUUCAAACGAGGCAAACUCCCAAUCAUACAUCAUGCACCUUUAAAUUAGGAUGACCUUUAAGGCCACCACCUACUCACUGUAAACUGGCAAGGCACUCCACGUCUUAUUAUCUGUUUCUUUUAACCUUUUAACUGAUAGAACUAUCAUUAUUACCAUAUGAAACACUAAAGACAAGCAUAUUUUUUCCAAUACAGGAAAAGUUUUUACUUUACUUUUUAAAAGAAGAUCAGCAGGCAAACUGUUUAAUUAUUUAUUGUAUGUGCAUAGAUACUGCCAUCUUCCUUCUAACAAGCCACAGAAAAUGUUCUUACUCAUGGAGAUUUCCACAUUCAGCUGUGUAGCCAGCUUCUAUAGUAAGAUGGAAUCCAUAUCAGCCCCCAUUGUUUUAAUAGUGGCUUCUAUAUGUUUCUUAUUUUACUUUAUCUUAUCUUAUUCUAUUGUAUUAAUAUAUUGCGGCAAUUCAUUAAGUCAAAUUCCUUUAUGUUUAACAUAUGUGGCAAUAAAUGGCUUCUGAAAUUCUCAAAUUAAAAUUGCCUCCACAGAUGCAUUAGAAAAGAAUAUAUUGUGUUGGAGAAUCUAGCUUGAGAAAACAACUAACUAUGGCAGGUUAUUCAGCUUAUUCAUUCUGUUCAUUAAGACAUCCGGUGCCACGGCCUCCAGUAAUAUUGACAUCAGACAGCUGCCUAGAUCUUACAACACACUAAAGCCGUGCAGAGAGGAAUGUCAUUUCAACAACAUGCAAAUACCCUCUAGCCAUGACCCUAUUUGGAUUGUAGUGGUUGCAAUGCAGCAUAGCUGAAACUGCUCCGCAGCAUUGGCUUCACUGCCUUUGACCAUCCAAAAAAUGAAUUAGGUCUCUGGAACGACUCCAAGCAAAAAUUGAAAGCGAUCAGAAGCGCAAUAUGGGAAGAAUAGCGUUUUGGUGCAGCUGGUGCUCAGAGAGCUUCAAAGAGCAGUAUGUGAACAGACCAGAUGCAGCAGCAGACAUGAUUCCCUAAGUUACUGAUGUAGAAAUGUAGAUUUAUCAGUCAUUAUGCGCUCACUGAACACAGGCUGUAGACAUACUGGUUUAGUUGCAUGAGGCUUUGGCUAAUAAAAGUCAGCAGUUAAGUAUUUUAGUUCAUUAGUACUAUUUAAAAGGACAUAAUUGUUCUUUUUAUCACCUGUAUUCUUUGAGAGAACACAAAUAUAAAGUCUUGUAUGACUAUUUGACUUAUUUCCUCCAUCUUGUAAACUAUUUGCUAUUCUCUUGACUAUGAUUUAAAAAAAGUUUGGAGCAAUCGGCCAAUAUCAGGGAUUUUGGUUAUAAUUUUUGGACACACCAGAUAUCGAGGCCAAAACUGUAAUUUCUGUGCGACAGUUUACCGUUUCAAUAGCCACUUGACAUGCAAGAAUGUCGUUAGAAUUGAGAGACGGCGCAAUGGCUAAUCUCUCUGAACAGAUAUCUGUGUAUGAAUGCCAAUAAACUGACCCUUCACUAAGCCCCCAGCUGCUACCCCUUAAAGCCGUCUGAGCUACCGUGGAACCCAAACUGUUAUCUCAUUUUUGAAAGACAAAAAAGCUAUUUUCAAAAGUCAAUGACAUGAGGGUUCACAUCAUGUGUUUGACGGAACUAUAAAGGAUUUCAAGCUGUUUCAACAGUCCAAAAAGGUUAAACGGAUGAAGAUAAAAAGCUAAAAAAAAACAUUCACACUGUAAAAGUGAACCGACACAUUACAUUUCUCUACCGGGUAGAUCUUUAAUAACUCUAACAAUUGUUAAAAGGUAAAUGAAGCAUGUGUGUAUAUGUUCUGUAUAUCUUCAGUAGCUAGCGUGGAUAGAAGGGCUAAUUGUCUGGGCUUUUGUACUCUGCCAAUGUUUGCAUCAAAUGUUUUUACAUAGAUAUGUAACAUUUUAGAAAUGUAUACCCACUUUCAAACUCACUAUUACAUGACGUUUGGACUGGCUUGAAAUAUGACUUUGAAGAAAUCUGGGAUGAUUGUAUUAGAGUUUUUGGGGCUGGGGAGUUGUCGGACUCCCUUCGGUCAAUGUACUGCUAGGACUGGCCUGUGUGUUGAAGGGUCAGGACAUAUUUAGAUGAAUAAAAAGCGUAUUUGCCAAAUAAGACAUCUGUACAUAGAGAUUGCCCUGUUUGUUUGCUCUAUGGUGAGAAGAAUUAUCCAAGACUAGCAAUGAGAAAUGCAAUGAAUGUAUACUGUACAGACAGCACUUUCUGUAAAUAGUCUUGGAUAAUUCUUCUCACCAUAGAGCAAACGAACACGGCAAUCUCUAUGUACAGAUGUCUUAUUUGGCGAAUACGCCUUUUAUUCAUUUAAAUAUGUCCUGACCCUUCAACACAGUAGUCAUGGCCUAUGAGCAGGCACCUCCUUCCUGGAAAAAAGCCUCCAGCUAACAGGAACGAGUGCUCUUCCAUGAUGGAAGUAGCAUUGUUUUGAAUAUGUCAGAGGAUCUCCGUAGCUGUGCAGGGACAGAGUCACCCACCUCGGCGGAACUGACUAACACAAGCUGGGCUCCAGACUGCUACCAUCAGUAGCAUUUGGCCAUCAUUUUUGGAGCCUGUGCUCUAUCAUUAUUCUACCAAGAGCAUCAUUGAGACUUAUGCUAUUCUCCUCUCUUUUUUUCCUUUUCCAAAUCAUCAUCCAAAAAUUUGUUUUCAACAGGGGGGAGUGUGUGUGUUGGUCCCGUCGAUGCCAACUCCAGGAUGCAGGUUUAUGGGGGCAUUAAUUGCAUUCACUACAAUAAUUAAAAGAGUAACAAUUCGGAUUCGUCAAUGGUCCACAGAUGAUUUUGGCAAAUACAAUUUAUGGUUUGCUCUAGAGCUGGCACAGGAAUCUCCCAAACAUCUGGACAGUGAGCACCAAUAGAGAGCAAACAUGGGGAGGAAGUGGUGCAUCCAAGAGAGCUCCCUCUCUUGGACGCACCACUUAGGGUCAGAGAAAAAAACACACUUUAACAUUUUAACACACUCAUUUGUAUAAAAAAAAAUAACCUUACAACUGAUUUAUUCCUAUUGGUCGAUGUAGAUCCCAUUACGGGUUUUGGGUCCACAAUUUCGUCCAUUUGAAUGGCUUGCGCAGCCCAAGUCCACAGUCCUAGUGCUCAGCACUCAGCCAAUCAGUGCGGCAGAGAGAGGCAACCGAUAAACUCAUACUGACGCACAGCGAGAAAGAAGCCUGAAUGUUGAUUACUUAAUAUGCAUUUUAAAUGAAAUACCAUCAGUUCAGUUAAAAUUAUGGUGUUUUUAUUACACUGUUCCUUUGCCUUAAAAAUAUAACAGAAAACUGUUAUUUUUAUACUACUAAUACUGUAUUGAUUACUAAAGCACUAAUCAGUACAGUUUAGAUUACAUUACAUUACAUGUAAUUUGUGAUAGAUGUAUAAUUAGUAUAAUUAGUCUUAUAAGAGGCUGCCCUAAAGAUGAAAUAUUUCAAACAUUUCCUCCUUCCAUGAUUGUCAUUGAUAGUGUUGAAAAAAACCUUGUGGCAGAUGUUCCUGACAAAAGUAUGUUUUAAUGAUUCUAAUUCAGACUAGACACUGUGAUAACAUGGUAAAAAAUGCACAUGAAGGAUACAGUAAAAAAACGUAGCUUCAGGAAUAUAGUGCCAAAAAUGAAUGCAGCACAUUGUUACUUUUCAUCCAACAUUUGCAUUGUCCAAAUGUAAAGCAUUCUUGCUAUAUAUAAUAGAGAUUGUGAGACUGUUAUCCCAUUGCAUGUUUUUAAUUCGGCUCCAUGCCUUUAUGUCUUGCACUGACCUUUGAGAAGUGUUGAUAACCCUGGGUUACAAAUAGAAUGUCCGUAAUUUCUUUUUGUAUAUGCAAAGCAUAUUUCCAAUUCAAACUCCUGUUUAAAUUCAACAUUGGAACUGUUGAAACAUUGUUCAACAGAUUCAACUGGCUACUGAUACAUUUUUGUGUAAUUUUCAGGUUAAACAGAUUGUAGAUCUAGAAUCUGCAUAAACUGAAAAUUCCAUGGAGCCACACAAACAAUGUAAAAGGGUGAGAAGAAAUACAUCAUAUUGAUUUAAACCAGGAAAAUCCAAGGAGUUUCGUGAAAUAUUUCCACACCCGGCCAACUUGUUAGAUUGUCAUAAAUUGGGUACCAAAGAAGCAGAAGGUUUUUUUCUUUCACAAACAGCACUUUCAGAACAAUGCAACCUACUUGGAUGCAGACUCUCAAAAUAGUCUAAGGUCACAACUCCCAUUGCAAUACUAACUAUUAGCAUAUGAGAAACGGGAGCCAGUCAUGUGACCCUUAUUGUCACACCGCGGUAAACUUGUUGGGUUUAUUUUAUUUAGUCUGGUCCUUUUGUCUUGUCAUUUCCUGUUUUAUUUUAAAAUAGUAACUCUCCUCUUGUUUCAGGUCACUUACCCUUCCUUAUGUGUCACCAGUCUGAUUGUCUUCCCUGAUUCCCGUUUGUGACCACCUGUUCCCCAUUGUCCUCCAUGUGGACUAAUAGUCUGCGUCUCCCCUUGUCCUGUGCCAGUGUAUUCGUUUCUGUCCUUCAUGCGUCUGCUUCAGCAUCGCCAUAGUUUUUCAAGCCUUGAGAACCACCCCAGUGUGUUUUCCUCUGUUGUUUUUCCUCCAAGAGAGUGAUUUUGAUUUCAUGAAGUAUUGUAUCAUAGGUUUAGUUUAAUGGUUAAUGUUUUCAUAGUCCUUUGUUUCUGCCGGGUCGUAAAACUUAUGGGGUUAUACCACCGGAUUCCCAAAACACAGAAUUCUAGAGAAAAAGCCUAUCUUACUAGAAAAUGGUAUAUACGUAGAUACGUGAAUAUAAUUAAAAAUCCUUCUUACAUAUGGAAAUAUAAGCCUAUCGUAAAACGUUUGCUGAAAAUUUCUAAAAAAUUCUAAAAAAUUCGAAUAAACUUUAAUUAUAUUUUUCAUAAUGACUAAUAAACACAAUGUUUAAAUAUGGAAAAUGUUAGGAGGAACAACUCAUACUAGAUCAUUAGGGAUUGAUCCAUUGUGAUCUUAAUAGUUGAAAUAAAAUGAAUAAAUUGUUAUGCCUUCCUGUGAACUAGAUCUAAAACUAAAAGUAACUGGGAUAAAACAGGAAGAAUUGGAAUUUUUUUGUUUUAUUAGAUGUAUUAUUAUCUUUUUGCGGGGAAACAUAUCAGAAAGACCACCUUUUAUUUCUUUAGACAGGUGUACAUUAUUCUUCGAUUGGUCUCUAAUAAGAUGGCCAUGUUUGUGCGACGCCGUCUGAGCUGGAGGCCCGUCAUCAUUCAUUUUAGAUGAAAUGCCUGGAGAGAUACUACAUCAAUAUUCAACACGGAUGAUUACAGGAAGCAGGCAAAGAUAUCACUGCACUUUUACGUGCAAAGAAAUGUCAAAUGUAAACAUGUGCAAUAGAAUUUAUUCCAUUUAACUGACACACAUUUAGAUCAACGGCUUGAAGCAACUUCACUGACUUCCAUUAAUGGCACUUUUAAUAAUUGGCAUCAAAGUUAUUGGGUAACGCUUCAGAAAACUGACGUAUAAUGAGAGAAUGGUCUGAUUGAAAUGUUUCGUGUUUGAUUUAUUUACAUGCUGGGGGAGAAACAUUCACUCAUUGCAUUACGACACACCCUCUGAUAAUAACACCCCUAAUAACCAGCUGCUGUAUUGGUGGGGAUGGGUUAAUGUUACUUUUUCCUCUACAUUUUUUCUGGAAUCCCAAAUACAACCAGGAUACACCUGAAGUUGCUAAUGCAAGCAAAAAUUGUUCUGCUUCUGCUUUCCAGGGAUUUCUGCUUUGUGAUUCAGAAGCAGCACUUCUUAGCGGUGGUGUGUGGAUGGCUGAUUCUCAAAGUAGCUGAGGUAGAUAUUGAUUUGCUGAGGGUAAAAGGGAUAAGAGUAUAACGGAGCGGAACUCUGUGGAGAGAAUGAAUAUUCCUUGAAAGGCUUGCGUGAAUGUUUAGCAAUUCAAGCAACAAUUUUGUCACGAGGUAAAAUACCCUUUUUAUUGAAAGACUUCAGAAUAUCACGUUUUAAAAAAUAAGAAUUUCUGCCUAAGUGAUCUUUAAACAAAUAAAAUAAACACAUUGUUAUCUGUCUCUGUGUUUACAUUUGGGUAUUAUAAGUAGGGCUGUCAACAUUAAUGCAUUAAUCUAUGUGAUUAAUGUGGCCUAGAAUGAUGCAACAAAAUAUUUUAACGUAGUUAACGUUCGUUCGUUUACUUCCGGUUUACUUCCGGUCCUGGAGGUAAACCGGAAGUUGACCGCGGAAAUGUAACGGCUGCAAGCUGCAGUCAGUUACAUCUAGAUGGAGAGAGCUUUUUGGAUUUGAAGUAAAACAAACAGAGGUGCGACAUACAGCGGAGAACUGCAGAAGAAUUACUCCACGUGUCAAACAGAAGGGGGUGAGUAGCAAACAAACCACUUAAAGCACUGCUAUGUUAAACCAGCUGCUAGGCUAAGCCAAGAUGAUAAUAUGUGUGUAGUUUUGUGUUUAAAAUAACAUUGACAAUUAAACAACAGUGUCUGAAAUACACACUUUCUAAAUUGAUUACUCAUUACUUUUAAAAUUUAGUCUUUUGGAGAAAACACAUUCAUUAUAAACAGCAUUGUAACAACAACAACAACAUUCAUUAAUCGCCAUUUAUCAAGAUGAAUGUGUUCAAAAUGUGCGAUUAAUGAGUUAAUUAAAAAAAAUCUAUUGACAGCCCUAAUUAUAACCUGUUAGUACAGUUACACAUUUGAAUGAUCAGAUGCAGGUCUUUUGCAGUGUUGAAUAUGAUGACAUCCGUGUUAAUGACAGGCCUGCCAAAAUGUCUUGCUAACUGGGAAAAUCAAAUCUCCUAUUGUUUUGUUCUAAUUCCCACCUGGAUGUUAAACAGUCUGAUAGAUACAGGAAAACACUGAUGAAUAGCUUUUGUUUGGAAAAUUAAUACAACAACACGAUCUUGGCAGUGUCAUUAUGGUAAGCCAUCUAAACUGACAAAAGGAUCAGGGAAACAUAGUUAGUAUUCAUAAGUAGCUUUCAACAGAGUAAAUGAAGUGGAGAAAGAACAAAAAAGCAGAGUUUGACGUUAUUUACAUCUAUUCGAAUGAACUAGAACAUGUUUAUUUCACCUUCUCUAACAAUUCCUCAUUGGUUAUUUUGAAUCCUCAUUUAGGCAUAGUGUUUGAGGCGGUGCCAACUAUGGACAUAGUUAAUCAAUGGUGGCCAAAUCUGAACACUCACAAUAAAUCAUCAGCUAAUUUGUUCCCCUCCUUUUCAUGUACCUUGCCAAAGAUGUAGCUUCAUUUUGAGAAAUCGCUUUUUGAUUCCAUUUGUUCACUGCGAUAUUUCCCAGGCUCUGCUGAGCACAACAGGAGGUUAAAAAACAUAAUUAAAACAAACUUUUUUACCUUUCCUAGAACCAUCUGUUAGUGCUGUUUUUUUUUUUCAACAAGACAUAACAUGGGCAUACUUGAAAAAAAAUAUUAACAAAAAUGUACUUAAAUAGAUUCUGAAAAAUGAAAAGCAAGUUCCCGUUCAAUUUAUCUUGUCCGUAAUCUUCUAAAUAGCUGUUGUACUUGAAGGAAAAAAAUAAUUAGUUUUGGAUAUUAGACAAAAAUAUAUAUCAGUUGCCUGGAUGGUAAUUAUAAUUAUUAUUAUAUCCAAUGCACUUAACGAAACAGGCUUACUCACCAACUCAAAACCACAUUUUAACACACCACAAACAGGCAAGUAAAGGAAUAGCUGUAGCAAUUCCAACACCUGUUCUACUUGCAGAUAUUGGAUGUGUCAGCUGCAGUUAAGUUUGUAGCCGUAGUUUGAUCCUUACACUAAAAUUACAUUCGUAGGGAGGGACGCAAACUAAAAAAUGCAUUAUGCAUAACUUAUCCGAAGUUCCCUCCUCAGCAUAUGAUUACAAGACAUGAAGACAAAAGAGCAACAAUAAAACUAUAUUCAAGGUUUCAGCUGAAGAACGGACAGUUUUCAUCAGACGCCUCUCUACAAACUUCUCUUGUAACUGUUAGAUGACGUUUCUGCUCCUUAUCGUAAAAAGCUGAACUUACUGGUUUGUUAGAUGAUAAGCAUGCAUGGUGAUAGAAGCUGGAAGACUCAUUCCCAUUAUCUUCUUUCUUUAUCCAAACAUUCCAUUAAUGCCAUGUUGUCCAUGCUGCUUUUGUAUUUGUAGAAAAACUGUCAACAGGUCAAUAUUCCAGAAAAAAAUUCUCAAUGACAGAUUAUAAAUUAGAAGAAAAUAUGAACAUUAUUAAUUAUGUUCAUAAACAUAUGAUGGUAAUUACUAACUUUUCUUUCUGUUUUGGCUUCUCAUUCGCCAUUGGCUGUAUAGAUGAAUGUUGCCACCAAUUAAUCUUAGAAGUUGGCCGAAAAAAUGUAAUUCGGCUUGCCCUACUAGCUGGUCUCAUCACAACUGGCCAAAGAGAAAGACAACACUGCUUUAGCAGCCAUGUGCCUGCUUUCAUUGUUACUCAACUGGAGCGAGAGUACACUGAAAAAAACGACAAUUAACAUUUACUUAAAAAAAUCCUCGUAACAAUUUGCACUCAAAAUUUUUGAGUAAAUUUUACUGCUGUGAUAUCCAGUAAAAGUUCCUUAAUAGUAUUAAGUAAAAUCUACUUAUUUCUGAUGGUAACAUUUGUGAAAAUAUUAAGUAAGUGUUACUUAGUUUAACUGAUGUUUCAAUUUUUAUUACACACACAAAUUAAGUACAAUAUACUAUAUUUUUUGUAUACAUAUACAUUUACAACAUCAAAAUAUUGAGUAGAUUUUAUUUAUCUUUGAUAUUUACUGUCGUAAAAUUAUCAAGUACUUUUUAUCCUGUUUGAUCAUUUUAAUUACUUGGUUGUUUGAAGUUAUAUUACCUAAUUCAUUUAUGUAAAUGUUACAAAUUCUCUUUUGAUAAAUAUUACCAAAUACUAUUAAUAAUCACACGGCUAAAAUACAAUUCCAUUAUUUAUUCAUAAACCUUUGUCAGGUACCUUACGUAACACCUCAUUUUAUACAGCUAUGUAGAACUGUACAUGAAACAGCAGUCAACAUUUCACAUGACAAAAAAUUAAAUGAAAUCUCAGCAGCAGUAAAUCAAUAAAGCAUCAAUCAAGCAUCAAUAAAGAAAAAAUGUUUACCUUUACCGAGUGAUCAUUACGCUAUACAGAAAAAAAGCAUAUCACUGGAAAAUCAAAAUGUUUUUGACCCCUGGACGCAUUAAACUAAACAGGGCACAACAGGUGACAAAACAGAUUGAGGGUUUGACCUGACAAAAUAUGCUGUACUGACAUGAACAACAUUCUAAACAACAACAUCCAUUAACAUAUUGAUAUUAGCAUUCGGUUAAAACAUUAAAGUUUGAGGACAACAUCAAAUCCUCUGUUAAAACCUUUAAAAAAAAAGGUUAUUUUUAACUUUUUCUUUACCUUGUGAGCAUGAAUGACAGCAGUUGCCUUUGUUGACAACAUUAGGAACAUUUAAGAAAGAAAACUCCUUUCAGACAGCAACUUCAACUUUAAAGAUGUACUUUUGGUGACAGCUUUAUCCCAUUCAGUUCCAGGAAAAGGUUUUGAAACACCUCAAAAGGUGUAGCGCAGAGUCCAGGGGUAAGGCAAGGUUCAGGGAAUAAAUCAGUCCCAUUAGCAACGUGCAAGCUUUGGCAUCCUGUCAAUACCUCCUUCCCUUCAAGAAUGAUGGAAACAUCUACUGGUUCUUCUCCAUCAGUACCAUGGACAACCAGGAUCUUGACUAUGUGUUGAGUGGCAUCACUGCGAUUGUCCUCCUGCAUGAAAUUCACAAGAAAAAAGAAAACUAUUUAGUUGACAACAAUUCAAGAGUAGGAAUACCAGCCUUCUAUAGACUAUUACAAGAAGUGUUGUAAAACGUAUUUAAAAGUUAUGCCUAAGUAAAAAAAAAAAAAUUUGGUGGUUAAAUACUACUUUGGUGCAAAAAAAUUUAUUAAAAUCACCCAUAGAUAUCGUACUCAAGUAAAGAGACAAAAAAUUAUUUUAGAAAGAAAACGUGGUUUACCAGGCAAUCUUCGAAAAGUUUCUCUUCUUUUUCACCAAGGAAUAGUAUGAGGCCACGGAUUACUGCGUCACGUCUCAUGUCAGUGCUUGGGUUCUGUGAAAGGAGUAAUAGCAUCAGUUGCAAACAAUAAUUUGUACACAAUAUACUAUCAUGUCAGAAGAUACGAAUACUUGCAAGGAGCAGUGGUUUGUUUCCAUGUGUGGAAAGGAGAAGUAUGUUACAGAAAGUGAGAAUUUGUGUUGUCUAGGACAGGGGCAGAAUGUGUGUGAAACUGUGACACACAGUAGAUGUCUUCCUGCAGAAGAUACAUCAAACAUACCUGACUCAGUUUAUCCAGAUGGGGCCUCAGCCUGGUCCCCACAACACCUCCCUUGGCUUUCAUCAGGGCAGUAAGCUUUGGUGUAUAGUGGUCUAGUUUGUACAUGAAGCUUUGCUCUAGAGAAAUUGUAGUUAUUCUCCAAAACUCCUCCUUGAUCUGUAGAUCUUGAUCUGAACUGUAGAAUGGAUGAACAAUAAAAACAGCAAAAUUGUGUCAUGCAUACAUGCAGUGUAUUUGUACUUGCCUAAUCACAACGGUGCAGUAUUUGAUUAGUCACUGAACAGCCCAGCGCUCCUGACUCUCUGGUCACCUCAUGUCCCAGCCGGCUAAAUACAAAAACAGUCGCCUGUGAAUGAAAACACAUUUUUAAGGGCAACUUAUAAUUUAUAGAUUCAUUUACAGCCAUUUUCAUGUUGUGUUUGUCUCUUGACCGUGGCACGCAGCUUCAACGAUACACCGCAACGCGGCCGCCAUGCUAAAAGUUGAGAUGAUGUUUCGAGGUGAAAGCACAUAGACAAUAACUAAAAAAACGAAAAACUUUGGCGUAGCGUUGUGUUAUAUUCGCACUACACGGGACAGUACAUGAGACAAAAUACAAUAGCUCUGAAUAAGAUAUAGUAUCUCGCAAAUUAACCGCGCGGUGUGCGACUCUGGUGGAAUGAACUGGCUAAUAACUAGCAAGCUAGCAUCAAGCUACAUCACACAAACCUUGGUGUAGACCGCUCAGUAUGCAGUCCAUACAAUGCUUCAAACUAAUCACCGAAACGCGUUUUAAACUGAUAAUAAAUUAUUUUAUGGAUAAAGCUGUUACUUACCUGAGAGAUUCCGGAGAUAUUCACAACUCUGUCUGCUGCCAACGAACGGACAAUGGACAUCUGCGCGGUUCUUUCGUUUGUCCCAAUGCGCAUGCGCUGAUUCAAACGCACUCUAAAAUAGUGUCGUAAAAUUUACUCAGUAUUUUAGUGUUUCUAGCAGAGACUAAAAAACAUUUAAAUGUUAUGAAAACAUCCAUAAUAAGACUUACUCCUUCCACACAGCCAUUUUAAAUACAUAAAUAAAUUGUGUACAUACAUGUAAUUUUACUUGACAAAAUCUAGUUCCAGCAGAAACGAAAAAUUUAAUUGUAGACAUUAGGACAGUUUAAUUAGUAUAUUUUACUACACCACCAAGUUCGUUUUUUCAGUGUACGUCAGUAGGUAAGUGCUGCUGACACAGUUAUUUCUACAGAUAUGACGGCUGCAUGAACAACACAUUAUGUCAGUAACGAUCAUAGAUUGAUACCAUAUUGCCUUUUUUACUACAUCAAUGUAAGAAAUAAAUACCAGAAUUACACUACGCUCCACUCUGCUCAUGUGUUAACAGAAAGGUUGAUCCACUUUGUUUUUCCUCUCUCUCUUUCCUGUAUGUAGACGAGAACACCAGACCAAUGUUUUUGCAUGCGCAUGCCAUUUGGCUUGGUAAGCUGAUCAGAGACGUCUGCUCCAAGCUGCUAAGUGUGCAGAGCUGUCUCCAGUUGUGUGGUGGUGCGUUCAUGUGCUCAGAGGUAAACCCACCUAUCUAUUGAUGAAGAACAGCUUUUUUAAGCUGCCAUUCUUAAUCUGAUUACAUUACUGUUUGUCGGCCAAAUGUCUGUAUCACAAUAGCGUUGAAUGCCCCACACGCAGACAGGAAGCAAGCGGCCCUUUCUCUCCAUCUCACACAAGGACCAACAUCGUUUAACAAAGAACUCUCAAUAUGGUGUCACCUCCAUAACCUUGGCCAGAAAAUAGUGAAUCAGGUGGAUAAAGAUUGCGUCCUCCGUGAUGUUUCUCCCAGAGUGCCGUGCACACACAGCAUUUCUAAAUUGGCAAGAGUAAAUGUUGAGGCCUGGAUGAUUUGUACAGGCCUGGGAAAAACAUCCUCCCAGCCAGCCAUGUCAAACAAGAGGAACGUACGUCUGACUUGAUCCCAGUAUGACUAAUUGGUAGAUAUUGUUGGUGCUCAGUCUGCUUAAUGGGGGAAGUGUCACUAUCUGGAUGUGCAGCACCCAUUGACUUAUUCCAAAUGAUACAGACGUCGGGAUCACAAUCAGUGAGUUUCAAAAUAGGGAUUAAGGAUUUUUUUUUCAGCUUUCAAUGUCAAAGGCCUUUGACUCCCAGGGCUGCGAUCAGAUGCAAAUAGGCAUGUUCGCAGGUAUUUCUCAUGUCAAACACUCUCUCACUGAUAUGAGUGUUUGAGAUGAAGGAUACAGGAGCUGUGCUUUCGUGCACCUUCAUUGAUUGUAGGCCUACAUUGAUUUGACUUCAAAUCAAAGACGUUAUUUCACAAAUUCAGAGCGUAAGUAUUUUUUAUUUAGAAGUUCAUUUAACAUGCCACAGUCCUGUUAGCAUGUAGACCAACAUGCUUCAGUUAAAUAUAAUGUUCAAUCAUCAAGGAUCAUUCUAAAAAUAAGAAUAGUCUCAUACUGUGAAACCUUGAUAACCCUUGGUACAGUUGUAGAAAGGACUGUGCUUUACAGCUGGAGGUCAGCCCAGUUAUACCGAUGCAUGCUGAUCCAUGGCAUGAAUGCAAGUCUGAAGGUUAAUUGCUACCAGAUGUUCAUCCCCACUAGUUUGUUAAUAAGAGUAAAAUCACUAGUCUCCUGCAGCGUGCCUAAGGCUGGCGCAUGCUUCUGCGUCUUUGCGCGCAGUCCUGUCGAUGCGCUCGAUUAAUUUCAUGGUUCAAAAGGGCUUGCGUGUGUUGCAGAGCAAUUCCCCGCCAGAACACCAGGUGGAGUAACGUUUUUUCUCAAAGACGACCUAGAGAGUGACGUCUUUGUGUGUGGAAGUCGUUGGUUUGUUUAUUUAUUUAUCGUAGGCCUUAUUGCCCCGUGCAUCGCCACUGCUGCUUUUUAGCGCCUUUAUCGAGACAUUUGUCCCGUGUUUUCCUCCACAACUUUGUGUUCCCCUCGACCGGCAAACUGACGUUUGCAGAGAUCUCCCUCCAUGAAUCGGAGGCCAUUCGCGCCUCCUUAUAGUCCGCCAAUGACGGGUUGUAAAAGUGCUCAUAUUUACUGAUUUUUUCUGACAAAAGCUCUUCAAUCUGAUCUCUCGUAAGUUCUCUCGUGAAAAAUCUUCGUAUUAAUAAUGGCGGUAUUGUGCUAUUAAACCGGAAGAGUGAGACUCCGUAAAGGAUGUAGUUAGCAGACCAAUCGCAGCCUUGCGGGCUGCAGGAGGCUUGCGUAGCUUUUGACGCUAGUCUAGAAAAAUGGGUUGACGCACGCAAGCACGCAAGGAGGUGUGAAAAGGCACGCAAGGAACACGCAAGGGGGUCUUGCGUCUGUGUGUCCUUGCAUCUUUCUGAAAACGCAGAAGCAUAAACUACGCUUUAAGCUUUAGUAAGCUCUCGUUUAUAGAGCCUGAAAGUUAGUACAUUGCUCUCUGGUGAUACAUAUUCUAUGGUUAAUCUUUGGUUGGAGACUGAUCCACUCAUCAGCUUAGAUUCAUUGUGAUUCUAGAUAAUAAUGUAAUGUAUUCCAUCAGACUACAGUACAUCCAAAUGAGGACCUCAGUGUUCUGAAGAUGGAAAUUCGACUCAUCUUGUUGUAAUUCUAAUACCGCUUUGAACCAGAGGCCUCCAUCAUAACAUGAUCUGAAAAUGGAAGGGUGUUAUAAAGGACCCUGGGCAGUCAAUGUGGUUUGCACCAGCCAACCUAUUAGCUCUAUCUUUGGCGAGUGUGCCACCACUGGCGUAAGUCCCGAUAGCAGUGAUUGAUGAUGCUCUAAGUUCAUUCUGAUUUUGGCUUACAAAAAUAGCUGAGCAGUGUAGCUUCAACCAUUUGAAACAGGGAAACAUACUGCAUAUGGAAGUUUAGCACAGUUUGAAAAUCAGAUCAGUUCUGUCAACAGAUUCUAUAUCCAGUUGUGCAUGAAAGAACAGGAAAAACAGCCAAAUACUUUGCUACGGUAUCCUGAACAUGAAGUGUAUCUUGUAUGCUUUAUAUAUUCUUAGUUUAAUCCAACACUGCAUUUUCAGAUGUCCUAUUAAAUGUCAGCUGUCACUUAAUGUUGCAUUUCCAAAACGACAGAAUUGUGUGUGCAAGGUUGUGUUAUCUGUGUUGCUCUGCUGGAAACUCUCACAGCUCUGCAGCACCACUAAAUCUUUGAUUGGACACUCUUUCCGGUUAAAAACAGUGAUAAACUGCUUCUGGGAUUCCUAAAGUGGGGGAAAAGUUCACCACCAGAGUUUUAGGCCAAUAUGGUAUACUUUUCUAGAUUUGGAUACACAGCUAGAGCUCACAUUACUCUGCAUGAUAGAGGGGAGUUGAGGAGCUGCAUCAUUAUCCCCAAAACCGACAGGCCCACCUGUACGUACGGGAUUAACUAGACACCCAUGAAGCACAAUGAGUUCGGGGCAUUCAGAAUAAGUGGCUUUAUUGACAAAAGUAUUUUAUCCAAGGACAUUUAACAAAUUUACAUUCAAAUAAAACUGAUACCUUUUAAGUUGAUGACCCUGCUGCCUUUGUAUUAGUCACCUGACAAAACUAACCUCUAGCACUUCAUUGAGUGAGCAGGGAAAACGACAUGCUGUAAACAGGGUUUGGGGAAUUAACUCUCCUUUAUGUGGGAAGGUAAAAGACAGGAUGGACAAGAGAACCAAUUACUUAUGAGUUGUGCAUGAACAAAGGCAGAUAAAUAUUCAGUUAUAAUCCACCAGUCUAUAAUCAAGAUGACAAAAACACAAUUUGAAGUAGGAGGUGGAGGUUGAAGGGAAGAGAAAACAUACAUAUAAAUCAAGACAUGUGAAUCCUAGGACAUCAGCGGCUUUGCGUGUGUUUGUUAAUACUUGAUUUGUAAUAUUGUCCUGGGAUUUCAUUGGAUUCUUCGGCCUUAAGUCAAGAUAUCAUUUUAAGAGAUAAGACGUGCUUCCAGUCUUUGGUGAUAACGAAUGCAUUCCGUAAAAGGAAUGUUUGUUUAGAGUUGUUUUUUCCUGUCUUGUCAAGAGUUAAAUGGAAAGAUUACUCCCACUAUAGCCCCACUAGCUACUAUAGGCUGCAUAUAAAGCCAGUCUUUUGGUUAGCUUACAUGAGCAGCUCACUUAAAGCCUAACCUUCCUUCUUUUUGGGGAAAAAUGCGAGGAAAGAUUUGCUCUUUUCUGCCCGCUGUGAGUCACUCAGCAAUGACAGCCAGACUCCCAACCCACAUAAACAAAUCGUUUUACAUACCUGCAUUUACUUUGACAAUCAUGUACUUUAACACAUUAUGUUUUCCUUUUGUAGAUCUUCACAGGGCUAUGCUUCACAUUAUAUGGGGCUAGAUAUUGAAAACAUUUGGGGGUUAAGCCAAGCAAUAUGAACCGAAGACGCCGCUGUUGGUGGAAAAGGAACCUCUACUGAAAAUUAGCAUAUUCAACCGCAGAGGGCCAAGUUGGGGCCAAAAAAAAUUGUAUAAUUCUGGAGGUAAUCCAUCCAGUCCUCAAGUUCUGUCUUUGUUCAUUGAUUUAAUGGGUUUUCUUAGCUCUUUUUAGAGUGAUGGCCGCCUCUAGAGAACAGAGGGCCUCUGGAGGGUGCUUAGGUAAGUGUAAUGGAUUCUAAAAAUUCACUACAGUCUCAUUAUGAACAACUUCCAACUUUGGAUAGUUGAAAAGUGAUAUUAAUCAGAUCUUUAUCAGAUCAGAAGUUAAGUUACUUCUUUUGUCCUAAUUGCUGAGAUGUUCACAAAACGAUCAUUCAUUCUCAAUUCAAGAGCAAGCAGGCAGCUGGUCUAGAAGUGAUUCAUAUAAUGGUUCUGCUGUAGUGCAAUUAAUAAUGAAUGCUGCUAGCUGUCCCGACAGACUUUCAACUCGAUAUAUAGCUAAUUUGCUUGUGAAUGUGUUCAGAUGAAAUGUUUUUAAGUAUGCUUUGUUCUGCCUGUCAGUUCUUAGCUACUAACAACAACAACACCAUUUCUUAACUUUAUCACAAUUUAUGCAAGUGAUAUGUAUCAUUACAAAUCAUUACAGACUCAACUGUCGUCAAAUAGCGCACUAUGCAGAUUCUGCAUCAUAUUUAGCCUUAAGGUCAUGCCUGUAAAGGUCAUUCUGAAGUUAGGAGAUGCUAAAACUCACAGCCCUUGAGGAGGUACAUAAGACAGCCCAAUAAUCAUUCAGUAUCAAUGCAACGGAUUUCACUUCAUGUUUUGCAGACAAAAAUCAGUAAAAAAAGUAUUUCAUCGGAAAAAAAGAUCAUUCCCUUGUAGAAAGAUUCAUCAUAAAUCUUUAUGGAAUCAGAUCUCAAGCUUAUUUCUGUAAUGCAUAAGAAGCCACUGGUUGAUCUCUGCUCCCUGUUGCCCCUGUGGGAUCGAUAUCAUGGAGCCUUGCAGCAUUGAAAUCCCCUCCAAUCAAAAGUUGAUCAUCUGGAAGAUUGUGGAAGCCAGUGAAUCUCACUUGCUGAAAGAAUUUGGAGCAUCGGCACAAUUAUAAGCAUUUUCAAUGUCAUUGUAAGCUAAUUUAUAAAAUAUUUACCUAUCACCUCCACCCAAACAAGUUUUGUGUCCAUGAAAUUUCUUCUUUAAGUACACUUCGGAGUGGCCUAUACAUUCCUGAGAGGAGUGUAUAGGCCAGGAGGAGUUCUAUGAUAAAACAUUAUUCAUAACAGGUAUGACAUAGUAUGCAGUAUGACCAACUUAUCAUGAUUUUAUCCAACUCGUGCAGUGUAGUUAUUACAAGGUAAAUCAUUCACAUGUGGUCUAACUAAUGACAGCACAGUUCAGAGGAAUCUUCAGCAAACCAGCCGAGCUCAGCUGGUAUAUUGCUAAAUAUAUCAGUAAAUUCCUGUGAUUUAGUCACUACAAGGAAAUUGGUAACAUUGUGCGAGCAAGCAAAUUGAAACAAAUGAAACUGCUUUAAUGAGUAAAGGGCCUGUUCUGUUUAUAAAUGGUAGCGAGGGUGAUGCAAGAAGUUAAUAAGAAAGGCUCAAGGAUAAAACCAGGAUAUUAAUUCAUCUUUAAAUAUUGCCCCACUUCUUCCAGGGGUGAAGAACUGUACAUUGAUGAAGAGGUAUUUUCUUAUUAUUGUCCGAGAUUUAUCCUGAGCUAUUUGGCCGAGGCAAAGCAAGAGGAGCUCAUCCUCUGAAUGCCAAACAAAAGGUUAAAAUGAGGAUAGAUAACCAAUUAAGGAGAUAGAGAGAGAGAGUGAAAGUCUCUAAAGAGGGUUUAGUGGGGCACCCAGGGUUCCUUCUCCGAACUGCAAGUAAUGUGGUGGAUAUGGUCCAAGACAUGCUCAUAGAUGUUUCUUUGGACCCCUGGUGGCACAAGCAAUCCCUUGAUAAGGGAGAUUAGGUUUCUUUGGAGAAUUGAAUAUCAGACUCGCUUCUUGUUUGCUUUUGUGUUUAUCCUCCUCCUUUUCUCCCUCCUUCUUUCCUUUUAUAUCUUUCUGAUUCACGAGUUGACUCCUACGAAAAAACUGAGUCUGGGGGGGAAACAGAGCUUCUUUCGGUCGGCCCCAAAUUAGAUGUGCAUGAAGCUGUUUUAAUGGGGUUGAAUCAUACUGCAAUAUAGAUCUUCAUCCUCUAUUGUCUGUUUCUGUGCAACAGAGGCAAUAUACAAGAGAUACUACAUGGGCAUGCAUAUUUUUUCUUUUUCAAAAUGUUUUUAUGUCUACUGUGAAACUGACAGCUGUGGAAUGAUCAUUCAGUCCUAAGAGACCGAAUGAAAAAAGGAGACUUCAUUUGUGGUUAGACUUUACCUUCUCAAGCUUGUGACCCCAAUCUUAAUCACCAGAAUAUGGAAAAUACAUCAGUGGUACCGGUGGUCAGGUGUGAGUCCUCAUUAUCUCAUUACAUUUUUACUCACCUUAGACGGCAUCACCGGUUCCAUUUCUUGCUGUAUUGAUAAUGACAGUAUCCAGGUAGGGAUGUGAAUCUUGAUUUCUCUCCCAAUUUGAUCGCGUUUCACCGAUUGUAUGUUGUUUUUAGUAUCAAUCACUGUACAUACACAAAAACAACUUACCUAAUCCUGGUUGUACCAGGAGUAGGUACAACAAUAUUGACCUAAACUAUUUUUAGAAUAUUAACCAAUUGCUGGAGUUUCAAAUAGUUUCAAGGCAUUAUUGAAUUUUAGCUUAAAAUGCCAAAAUAUUCAAUAUCAUGUGAUGAAAAAGGGCAUUUUACACAGGACUAAGACAAAAUGAAAAAACAGCUGACUAAAUUAAGAAAGAAAAGCUGAAAUGUUUGGUGUUGUUGAGUAAAACAUCACUCACUUUGAUCCUUUUUAUAUUUUAUAGCAGAGAAUGUAAAAAGUGACGAACAUUUAUUUUUAUGCUGCAAUUUGGCCAAGGCACAUCAUUUAUUUUCUCUUAAAAUGCAUAUACCUUUUAUGUUGUCAGAUAAAUUUACAUUUUGUUGCAGUGAACAGGGAAUGGCAGUCCAAUUCCGGCAUUGACACGGCGAAUGCAAAUUACACAUGACGACAAUGAUGUACCGUAGGUGACAUGUACAGAUAUUAUCUCCCUUCUGUAAAGGACAAAAAUUGCCUGAAGGGAGCACAUGUGAAAAAAAAAUUAGUUGGAUGCAGAAAAUGGAGAGAAAUCAUAGCCGUCUUUGAUAUUGAAGCACUGGGCGUGAAAGUGACGGUAUUUGAGAAUUGCUCAGGCGUCAGGCCGUUCACCUCUAAUGUCAGAGAUGAUUACACACUAAAUGUAGUUAUCUAGUGCCGCUGCUAAUCAUUGUUAAAGAAUCUGCCCAAUUUUUCACCUUGAACUGGUUGUCAUGCGGUCGAUGACCCUCUUACCUUUAAAUCAAGCUGAAAAAAAAUGGUGAUGGCAUGAUACCAUCGGGCAAUCUACUGCGCUCAAGGGCAUUUGGCUUCCAGUCAAGUUUAGUCUUUCACAAAUGAUGUGAGAGUAGCGAACCUCAGGAUAUAAGCAGAAUUAUUGACAGAGAAACUUGAGUAAUUGAGAAUGAGAUCACCGGAAACAUUAGAACGAUCAGAGGGAUGCUGGUCAUUUUCCUGAUUAACGGUAAUUGUUGUAUGUAGUGAAUAUGAAACCUGAGAAAAAAAUCAUUGAAAUUGUCAUUUACAAUAACAGCCUAAAGCCCAAUAAUCUUGGACGACCAGAUCGGACAAAGCAAAGCAGCAAAUCCACCCAAUUGAGCCGCUGGAACCAUCAUGUUUCGUCAUUAUGAUUCAAAACCAAUCAGGGCUGCAAGUAAUGUUUUUCUUUCAUCAUCGAUGAUUCAUUUCUUUCAGUAAAGUGUUCUUCACGAUUUCUAAGAACCCAAAUAUUGCAUCUUUUGUGAAUUUUGCAUGACAGAAAACAAAAAAUGUUUUUCCAAAUAGUUAACACUAAUACAUUUAUUGACCAACUGUUGCAACUUCAUGAACUAUUAAGGCAAUUGAAUUAUCAUAUAUAUUAUAAUGUUUUCCAAUCUAAGUACACUUUUAACAAGGAGUUCUACUAAACCUGUACUAACGUGCACAAUGUUCUCUGUGGCUCUGUAGAAAGUUUGACGACAUUACCUGAUGUCAUCAGUCACAACAACGACGGAUUCCGAGUGUUUUUAGCUGAGCUACAACAGACUUCAGAUUUCCUGGAUGUGAUGUCAUGUAGGCUGGUUGUGUUUUAUGUGCAAUGCAAUGCUUAGUCACUGGAUGACCCCUUUUUUUGUUGAGUAACUAAUUAUAUGGGCUCUGAAGGAUCCGUCUUCGCUGGCUAUGCAAAGAUCAGAAGAAUUAACUUAUUGCGUUCUUCUUUAAAUUUGGUCAGUUGUCCCAUAAAUACUCUUUGUGCUGUCCACGUUUGUAUGUAGAUGAACAUCUGUGGCACACUUGCUUGGGAUCAAACAGUCUGUUGUUGUAUAUUAUGGAUGUGGUUGAAUUGUAACUUACAUUUUGGAAUAGCUUUGUCCCUGAAUGGACGUGGACAUUGUUGAGCAUAUAUGAUAUGAGUCCAAAGCCAUGUCAAAUAGCUAAUGUAAUGACGCCACAUGUAACACGUGUGCCUGCGUGCACCUGGAUGCUGAUGUAAAUAUGCGCAAAAUAAAACCAGUCAGUGCAAGUUCUCAAACCAAGGAGAUGAUGGCGGUCUGUCCUUUUUCUCCCGUGAAUAAUGAUACCUGGACGUAUUAACUGACCACGUUGGCGACUGUACUAACGGUAGACUGCUGCAGGAAUGUCUAACGCUACAGGUUAUGGGCCCAGUCAUGCAGGCCAAAGGUGGUUCAGACUUUUAUUCGACGGUGAUGAGAAAAGUUACGAACUCUGGGAAACAAGGUUCCUCGCGCACAUGGAGUUACGCAGCCUCAGAGAAGCUAUCCUGGAAGACCCACAGAUAGAUGAGGAGGACGAAGGAGCUCUCGUGGAAGAUGAGGCAAAGAAUGGUGAGGCGUAUGCAAAACUAGUGCAAUGUCUAGACAACAAGAGCUUGUCAUUGGUAAUGAGGGACGCGCAACGUGACGGAAAAAAAGCGCUAAAUAUUCCCCGCGAGCACUAUGCGGGAAAGAACAAACCCCGCGUUGUGAGUUUGUAUUGUGAACUUUCCUCGCUCUACAAGGCUAGCAAUGAAACUGUCACUGAAUAUGUUUUUAGAGCCGAGACCAUAUUCACGUCAUUGAGAAGAGCAGACGAGGAUAUUAGUGAUGCACUUCAAAUAUGGUAUGUAAACAUGGUAGUAAAGGGGCUUCCUGAUUCAUACAAGCCAUUCGUCGUGCACAUCACCCAGACAAAUGACACUGUAACGUUCGGCGAGUUCAAAACCAAACUGCGAAGUUACGAGAGGACUGAGAAAUAUGGAAAGAGUGACGUAAAUGUUGAGGAAGACAAAGUGAUGAAGACUAGCGGGGCAACAAGGUCACGAGGACGAGGAAAGAAAAUGGACCCGGCUGAUGCCGAGUGUUACACAUGUGGUGAAAAGAGACACAUGGCCAGGACAUGUCCUGACAGAUACCAGGCGAGGAGAGAGAAGAGAAAAUGGGACACACCACAGCGAGGCAGGGGACGCAGCCGAGGACAAGGCCGUGACUAUAUGAAGCGAGCUGAUGGAGAGACAGAGGCAGAGCAAACAUCUUUCUGUUCCAGGAUGAGUGUUAAGUCCCUAAAGUGUCUAGGGGUGGAGGACGUAAACAAGUUCAAAUAAUAAACCCGGGAGAUCUGGACCAACGGCAAAACAGGAUAUUUAAUGAUGGAAAACUCAACACAAAGUAACUGAGAACAAUCUCCAAAAGGAAGACAAGUACGCCGUAUAGCUCCUUCUUUACUGGCUCCCAAAACCUCCUCACGGCAGCACCUCACAACCUCUCUGGUUCCGCUCUGGCUUCCACUGAAGCAACCCGCACUCUGGCUUGGCACAGCCAUUUAAUCCCAUGCUGAUCAGCUGCAGGAGUGACAUCACCAGCACACCUGAAGAAAAUCACACCCACUCACACACGCACGCACACACACACACACAGAAACAAGGCACGUAACAAUGAGUGACUGUCCCACACAAAGACAAAACAAGAAGGGUCUCAUGGUCGACUGCGGCGCCACAACACACAUGAUCAACAACGCCACAAAGUUCAAAACAGUAGACGAGAGCUUCAGACCCGAGGACCACAUGAUUGAGCUUGCCGACGGAUCUAAGGUGAGCGGGAUGACCAAGAUGAGGGGAGACGCCGAAGUCUACUUGCUGGACAGCGAGGGACGACAGGUGAAAACAAGGCUCAAGCAAGCACUCUACAUCCCAUCGUUUCCACAAAACAUCUUUUCAUUCAAAGCAGCGACGACCAACGGAGCUGAGGUCCACUUCAAGGACGGUAAUGACUUAGUGAACCACAAAGAUGGUACCAAGUUCAAGAUGGACGUGUAUGGUAGGCUGUAUUACCUUAGCACUGUAGAGGAUGAAAAUGUUGAUGAAGUGUAUGGUUGUCAUGACAUUCAAACGUGGCAUAAGAUACUGGAAAAGGUGGUUGAAGGAAUGUCUAUAAAAGGGAAACCUGACAAGUCCAAUCAAAACUGUGAAAUAUGCACACAGGGCAAGUUUACACAAAGCAGAAACAGACAGGCAGACGCUAAAGCUACAACCGUACGAGAGCAAGUUCACACAGACCUAUGCGGUCCUAUAGAACCAGCAGAUAAAGAUGGGUACAGAUAUGCAAUAGCAUUUACUGACAAUCACAGUGGAAUGAUUUUUCCAUACUUUAUUAAAGCAAAAGGUGACACGACAAAAGCUACAGAAAAAUUCAUGGCAGAUGUAGCUCCAUAUGGAAAGAUCAAGUGCAUAAGAUCUGAUAACGGUACAGAGUUUACCGGGCAGGAGUUCUAGUCUUUACUUCGGAGUAAUGGGAUAAGGCACGAGACAAGUGCACCCUACUCACCGCAUCAGAAUGGAACUGCCUAAAGAGGUUGGAGAACCUUAUUCGAGAUGUCUCGAUGCAUGCUGUUGGAGAGUAACCUCCCAAAGCAAUUAUGGACACAUGCUGUACAGACAGCAGCUCAAAUCCGCAACAGGUGCUACAGUAAGCGACUAGAGCAGACACUUUACUACGUUUUCACAGGGAAAACACCAAACCUAUCCAACAUGAAGUUAUUUGGCUCUCAAUGCUACGUUUAUCAACAGGAUAAGAAAAAUCUGGAUUCAAGAUGCAAAAAGGGGAUCUUUGUAGGCUGUGACAGAUAUAGUCCAGCAUAUAACGUGUAUUAUCCCGAGACAGGAAAAGUCCUAAAACAUAGACUGGUGAAAUUCAUCACCAAAGGUAGCACAGACAGCCAAACACAGAUAGUUUGUGACAUGGGAGAAGACAUUGAGAGUUAUGGAGAAACACCACAGAAGGCAGUCAACCAAAAUCAGGGACAGCCGAAGGAGAUUAAAGAGUCAAAUGUUGAGAACACUGAGGCAGGUCUAACCCAGACAGAUAGUACUCAGGGAAAAGAGGGGGAAAAGAGAUACCCGAUGAGACAAAGAAAAGCCCCAGAAUACUUAAAGGAGUACCAGUGUAAAGCUGAGUGUAAUGACAACGAAAGUGAAAAUGUCGAUUAUUUCUACAGAGUGGCUUAUGAUAUACCUAAAACACUUAAAGAGGCAAUGGACUCUAAGAAGUCAAAAAUGUGGGCUGACGCGAUGGGAGAGGAGAUAAACUCUUUAACAGAGAAUGAAACUUUCACUCUGACCCCACUACCAAAAGGCAAACAGGCAGUGGGAGGUCGCUGGGUAUAUGCAGUAAAAGAGAGUCUAGAUGGAUCUGAGAUUUGUAAAGCCAGAUAUGUCGCGAAGGGGUAUAGUCAAGUGGAAGGGAUUGAUUAUAAAGAGACCCUUUCACCGACAGCCAACAUGACAUCUGUACGAGCACUAAUGCAGGUGGCUGUACAGGAGGAUCUUAUUCUACACGAAAUGGAUGUAAAGACUGCUUACCUCCAUGCUCCAAUAGACUGAGGUAUAUAUGGAACAACCGGAAAGUUUUGAGGUCAAGUCAAAAACAGGAGAACACUUUGUGUGUAAACUCAACAAAUCAUUGUAUGGUUUAAAACAGUCUGGGCGUAACUGGAACAUGCUACUGCAUGAUCACCGUACAGAGAAUGAUUUUGUGCAAAAUGAUGCUGAUCACUGUGUCUACAGCAGAACAUCUGGGAACAAAAAAGUGAUUCUGUUAGUAUGGGUAGAUGAUUUAAUCAUAGCAGCGAGUAACAACACCUUACUCAGUGAUGUGAAGGAAAUGUUGAAGAGAAGGUUUAAGAUGAAUGAUAUGGGUCCACAUAAACACUUCCUGGUUGCGUUGAUGUCAGACAAGAGUGAGGGAGAAAUCAAAAUGACUCAAAAGAGACACGUAGAGAAGAUAUUGGCAAAAUCUGGGAUGUCCGAUUGCAAACCAAGAUCCACCCCAUGUGAGCAAAAGCUGAACUUUGACAAUGAGGGUGAAGUCAUUGAUCCAACAGGAUUUAGAGAGGUAGUAGGUAGUUUAAAAUACAUUAUGACAUGCACCAGACCUGACCUGAGCUGGGUUGUUAGUAAGCUAUCACAAUACCUAGCAGAGCCAAAGCAACAACAUUGGGCUACAACAAAACACACACUGAGGUACUUAAAGGGUACUAUGGAUCAAGGUCUACACUACCAAAAAUGUGAGGAAAGCAUACUACAGCUGGAGGCAUACAGUGAUGCUGACUGGGCAGCCGAUAAAGAUGACAGGAGAAGCAGAAGUGGAUACUGUUUCAGCUUAAUUGAGAAUGGUCCAGUUAUAUUGUGGAAGAGUAAGAAACAGCCAACAGUGGCAUUAUCGAUCUGCGAAGUAUAUGGCGCUAGCAGCCACUACUCAAGAGAGCAUGUAUCUUGUGUAACUACUUAAAGGAAUAGACAGUAGUAACCAGCAUUUACCAGUCAAGAUCUAUGAAGACAAUCAGUGGGCAAUAGCUUUAUCCAAGAACCCAGUAUGCAGACAGAGAAGCAAACACAUAGAUAUAGUGUAAGUAUCACUUUAUACGGUCUGCACACGCGGAAGGGAACAUAUCUAUAGAGUACUGCCCUACUGCAAACAUGGUAGCUGUUGUACUUACCAAGCCAAUGACAAAAGCUAAGUUUGAGAGUUUAAAGGGAUAUUUGUUUGGAGAGUGAUGUGAACUGACAGGUGUAAAUGUUUUGAAGUUUCUAGAACACUGUUAUUAUGCCAAAUGUUUUAUUUUAUUUUGUAUUUUUGUUUUUGUUCUUAUUUAAAACUACAGAGAGUUAUACCCAUGUCUUUCAGUGGGAGGGUUGAGCCUAUAUGAUAUGAGUCCAAAGCCAUGUCAAAUAGCUAACGUAAUGACGUCACAUGUAACACGUGUGCUUGCGUGCAACUGGAUGCUGAUGUAAAUAUGCGCAAAAUAAAACCGGUCAGUGCGAGUUCUCAGACCAAAGAGAUGAUGGCGGUUUGUCCCUUUUCUCCCGUGAAUAAUAAUAUCUGGACGUAUUAACUGACCACGUUGGCGACUGUACUAACGAUAGACUGCUGCAGGAAUGUCUAAUGCUACAGGCAUUAUGGGAAUAUCUAUACUGCUUUUUUGUCCAGCUUCAGUACAAUUCUUUCAUUCUCCACUGAGCCAUAUGUGGGGGUGGGAGGGGGGGAAGAUAACUUGUCAUUAAUGCCGAGCCUCAGUUCUCUUCGGAACAGGCAGUGUAAGUGGGGCACUGAGAGAUGUGGAUGGAGAAAUCAUGUGUCCUUUCUACUGCGAUGAGGUGCAGGAGCAGGAAAUAGGGGUUGCCGGUCAGCCUGACCUCUUCACUUGCAGUGACCCCAAUUCACAAUAUUAUUGCGUUAAGGUCAGAUUGAGCAGAAACCCAAUGUGAAGGAAGAGAGGUGUGUGCGACCAGACAAAGACCAUGCAAAAGAGGCAGGCGAAGACAGCGAUCGGGAGUGAAAGUAAGAAGUUAUCUCAAGUCAUCCAAUGACUUUAUGUGGGCAAAAAUUGAAUGAAGAGUGCAGUGAAGCCUGCUCUUUGUUCUGUGGACCAGAAACCUUGUAGAACAAGAGACUGUCACUACUUGUCACAGUGAAUAUAUACCACCUACUUCCACCCUGCCUGCUGUGCUUGUUCCUCCUUACGCCUUGUCCUUGUACAGUUUCCAAUAGCAACCAGCUGAACCAAAAGAGAUUUUUCAGUCGGCAGAUUAUUAUGAAAGAUAUCUGGUCUCCGUUCCACGGCAUCUACCUCUGUACAUCGUUUCGUAAAAUGCUGAACAUUUGUACUCUCGAGAUCACUAAGUUUGGUAGCGAGAAAAGAGCUGUGAGGGGUGCUGGGUGAGGAGGGAGGAGGGAGGGCAGGUUGUUGCACAAGUCUGUUGCCAUGGGGAUUCUGGCGCAGUGACUUUGCAGUAGUGCGGCUGCGGGAGUGGAGGAUUUCUUUUUGCGAGGGAGACUCCGGCAAAAAACAAAAACUGUUCGUGAGUUUAAGCUUCAACCACCAAUUAUGUGGAGGGGGCAUUUAUUUUAGAAAGAGAGUUGUGAAGCUUUACUUUGACCGGAAGCCUGGGCCUGCCACUGAGACCUUUUUAGUGUUUUCAUACUACCUCACCGUCUCGAUUAAAUUAAGGAUCGGUCACCACGCGAAUGGUUAGCAGAAAAAUCCAUUUCAAUAAAGGGAAAAAAAGGGAGAGCUAAUGAAGGCUUCAUAAUUGCAUGUUCCCUGGAUAAAAGUGUUAAUUAAAUACAAAGGCUGCAUAGAAAACAGUAAUUUAUUGGUCGAGAAGAGGAGGCUGCUUAGAGUAUUGAAGAUAUAAUCAGCAGCAUGGAUGAAUACAUUUUAAUUAAUAAUAAAUAUACUAUGGAUAUGUACAAACAUAGAUACAUAUAUUUAUAAAAUCACAACAAAUUUCAACCCUGCCCUCAAUACAGAAAAUUAAUAAAAGAUAUUGGUCUUCUUUGGAUAACCACUCAGGAAAGGUGAGACAUAAAUAUAAUGUCCCUGUUGGCUAUCAAUGAUAUUAUUGAAUUGGUUUGUGGUGAUGUGUUAGGGUGUAAAUAAUGGAAAACAGAUGGGAUCAGUCACCAUGUAUUGUGAAUCCUACACUGUAUAAGGUAUGAAUGUAGUCGCUCUGACCUCAGCCAAGGGUUUCUAAAGCUCAAAGUGAGCUUGAUUUAAAAACUGUUAAUGAACCUGCCGCACUGUUGUCAUGAACAGCAUUAGCUUUAGAGAUCAAAACAAGGCUUUAAACAUACAUAUUUCUGCUCUGACAUAUUAAACAUAAGGAUCUAAGUCUCAAGUGGCUUGGCAGAACUGAAUUACUUGAAUACCGGAAAAUAUAUAACUAAAUUACUCUACAUUCACAUGCGCGCAUUUAACAUUUAAUUCAAGUAUCUCACUUCUUCUUUUGCUUCUUCUUCUACAUCAAUUCAUUCUUUCUGGUCUGUAUUGGGAAGAGGUCAUAUUCAUUUUCAAACCUUGAAGAAUGUCAUGAGUAUGUAAACAAAUAAAACUAUUUACCGUUUAAAUGACAUGAUCUGAUGCAUAGUGUUCACCAAGACUGCAAAUUCCUAUCUUUUGCACCAUAAUCUCACUCUGUGACCCACCUGACGUCUCUUGCCAUAAGUAGGUGAUAAAGGCCUUGUGUAAUUGUCAGUAGUACCUGGGAUUUGGAUACACUGAGACUUUCAACCUGUAUGACAUUCUCCCAUGAGCCUUAAGACGGCACAAGCUAUUAGGUCCACCGUUUCUGAUAUGACAGAUGGGAGGGAUUUAAUCCUCCCAUUUCCUUUGAGUACCUUUGCAGACCAUGCAUUUUCAUUGGUGAAUAGACAGCAAGGGAGUUCAACAGUUAGAAAACUAAAUACCUGAAUGCUUCAUUGAAUUCCAAAAGAAAAUGAAAAACAGAAUCAAUAUUUGGACAUUUAUGCAUUUUACAAGUUAAGCUUUUUGAUUUGAGAAUCAACACAGGAGACGGAGAUGAGUUGGUAUUGAACGCAAUUAAAACUUCAGCUGAGUCUCAAUAGGGGCUUUGAUAAUGAUACAGAUGAGUUGGAUAUUCUACACAGCAUAGUGCUUCCUAAAAGAGCAAGCAUUUUAGUUUUUCUGUAAAUAGGAACAUCUAGAACCUAACAAACAAUGACCAUAUGUCAUCCCCAUGGAUGUCAUCCUUUGGGAGGCCAAGGCUAAUUGCCUUCACACCAUGAGUUUUACCUUCAUGGUACAGAUGGGAUAGACUUGGGAAUUUGAAUUUGCUCCCCCAUACAAAACAAAUGUGUCUAAAACCCAAUGCAGCUUUUUGUGGCAUUUGUUAACAUUAAUAUCUUGAUGAAAAAUACCUCCAAAAGCCUCCAUCACUGCUGUGACGCUGAGAAACAUAUGUUCAAAUACAGAUGUUGAGAUCAUGCUCAAGAUGAAAUCGAAUAUGGACCCAAAGCCCCUAUGGCCAGAGUUGGAAUAUCAAAUGCAGCUACAACGCACAACAUAGAUCCCAACAUAGGAUCUUAGGACACUGUGUAACCACAGGAAACUCUUAAUUUACAUUGUGUAGCUAGGUUCCUUUAAUUGUCACUGUUGUAUUUGGCCUUUUUUACUGUUUACUUCAACCGGCAAAUUUUAAUUCCAACGAAAGACUCGAUCAUCUUCACUUAUAGGUUCCUCCUCUUGCUGAACGUGUGUUUACCGGUGGGGGGAGAGUUUGGUUGGAAGGGAAAACUGUCCAGGCAAAGACAAUCUACCCUAUUUAAACUGUUUCAUUCAAAUGCUUUAAGCAACAAUGUUCUCACCAACACACUCUGAAGUUGCUGGGCUCCAAAAGCAGGUUGACAACCAGAGGGCCCUAACGAAGAAAGGUGAGACAUACAGUGUGGUCAUAUGAGAGAAGUGGGGACUGAGAAAGACGUGUGAAGGGGGGAAGAAAACAGAGAUUUACAGAAUCUGUGUUUUUACCUCUGAUUCCACCUGGAAGGCUGGCCAGUACUCCAAGAAGUCCUCCAGUGAUCUCUUUUUCCUGAACCAUCUCCUGGCAGCGAUGGGCUAAGGUUGUCAGCAUAAGCUUUUCUAUCAACAACAGGUUUCUCUCAUUCUUCCCCACUUCAUUGACAACCUGGGGUCUCAUUUCUUCCACCCUGCUCUGAUGCUCUCCUCUGGGACAGUUUGGAAGGCACUUCACUUCAUCUUGUCCGGCUCUUUUAACAUUGGAGUAGGGAUUCUCAUUGUCAGAGUUAUAUCUGCUCCCUUUGCCUGUGUUGAUAAGUUACUCUAGACUUCAAGUCCUGGGAAGCUUGGUCGGAUAAUCUCCCAUUUAAAAUGUGAGGCCCCUCUUCUAUCCUCACCAUCGACUCACAUAACCGGGCUCCUUAGGACAUCGAUGGGCUGUAACGAGAGCAGACCCGUGUCCCUGUCAUUUUGGUAAGAUAUGAAGGUGUGCACGGCACAAGACGCAGAUAUCCGAGGAUGUCUAUAUCGGAACUUGUGCAUGAGCUGCUGUCUGUUUCUGAUCUGAAAACUUUCACUGUGCCUUUCUUUAGUAACUUUUGAAUGUCCUCUAGAUAGCUUAGUUGUCCAGUCAGGUUACUCAUACUGCAGGGUAAACUCAAAGUCUAGGCAGGGUGUGACUUUUAUGGGUAAGUCUAUAGCAAAGUAAACGUGCAGCAGGAAUUUCUGGGGUAUUGCCAUAAUCUGAUGGACAGAUCCAUCCAUAACGGAUUGAAAUGGAAAAAACGCCUGUUUUGUUAAAUGGUGUAAAUACAUAACAAAAUUAAACCUACCUUAAAAUGGAAGAAGCCGGAUUCUUUACUGUGGCGUUUAAAUGUAGGUCACAAAUUAACGUUCACAGAUAUAAAUCUACUUUCAGUGUAACGGUUCAUGUUCACUGUGGGAAGUUCCUAUGUUCUCAAUUUUGUUCUUGGCCAAUAAAUGUGGAAUCUCCAAUUUUGUCAAACUGAGCACUAACGCCCCACAGAUACAAGCGCAUCAACUUCAUAAUUAGUGCUAUCAAUAAUGAUCUUUGCUGUUCAUGUGCUGUUAAUCAUUUUGCUCUCCUUUUUUUAUGUGCUCCUUUGCCACCUCAAUAAACACUGAAACACACAUUUGCUGAAUUUGUCUGCGGAUGUGGUUUAAAGAAUGAUGCCGUGCUGAGGUAGUGUGCCACCAUGUGCUGAUGCCUAGUGUUUUUAAUACUUUCCGUUUACCAUUUAAGCAGGUCAUGUAUUCAAACAAUAAUUUUUUUGCAUUCAAAUCUCAGUCCACAAAUGGAGAAGAGAACCAAAACGGCAACGCGGUCAAGGUAGUGAUGAACAUAGUGAGGUACUGAACUCAGGAAAAACCUCCUGAAGCAUUUUUCUGUGAUCAUGCAGCUUAGUCUCAAAAUAGUGGAUAGAAUAGUCAUCAAAUGUUGGACAAAGCACAAGCUCUACAAUGACUUUGACAUCAAAGACAUUGUCGACAAAGGAAAAAUCAUAAAGGGGCAAUCUGGAAAAAAAAGAAGUAAAAAUGAUCUAAUCAUAAAUGCAGUGGAAGCACUCAGAGUCUCUACAAUAUGCUUUUUAGUUGGCCAAUGCCACCAACGUUCCUCUUUCCAGCAGUGUUUAUUGAGAUUGGCUUUGGUCGGUUUUCUUAGUAUGGGAAUGACACAUAUUUCCUGGUGUAAAAUAUCAUCUCCUGAAUAAACAUAGCCAACUACACAGGUACAAAUGCCCUCAGAACGAUUAUGCCGCACACCAGGUGGUGAACCACUAGUUGUAUGAAAAUACUGCAAACUCUCUUUCAAGAUACAGUCCACCCUAAACCAAACUGACUUUGUCUUCUUCCCAUGCAUAACAACACGGUCAUGACUGCCUUUGUUCUAAAUCCUUGUGUAGCGUUACAAAAUCCACAAAGGGCCGGAAGCCUGCUAAUGCCAGGUCUGAUUCAAUGCAUAAAACAUUGACCCAAACGGAUCACGGCCGUCAAUGAAUACACCAUUUUGUUCAAGAGUGCAAAACUCUCGUAACAAAGGAACACUUGCUGUUUGAGAGCCACACCUGGAGAAUGGAUACCUUACGUAGUGCUGCGCGGCUGACUGACUGAUCGAUCAGCAACAACCUAAUAUAUACUGAACACAGUUUAUGGAUUUCCUAUGAAGUAGAUCUGCAAUUGCAGAAGACAACAAAUAAUUGAUUUAUUAUUAUGUAAUCAAUAUAUAAACAUUUAAAUUCGCCUGAUUCUUGAGGACGCUUGCUACUUUGUGUGGCAGAGUGGCUCCGCUCACUUCAAUCUCCAUGUUUUUGGGUGUUCUAAAUCAGCUGACUUUCCAUCUUUCCGUCUUUUGUGUCUCCCCCUUCCGCGUCAUCGACGGCGCCUGCCUGUCUGCCGACUGAGGUUGGAGGUGGAAGCGUGGCCUUCAAGCCGGUACAGAUCCCCUUAGGCGUAGCAUCCAAUUCCUACGGUAGGCUGUCUAAUCUGUACUGCUUAGAUGCACAUGGGCCUCGUCCAGCUGUUUCAUAGAUGCCUCUUACUUUUGAUUUGCAGCUAAAGCGGCGUCGUUGUGGUGCACCACCCUGGCGUGGGAGCACUAAAGCUUCUACGUCCCGCCAGUGGCUCACCUGCUGAAGCAGGCCUCUAACCAGUGCGGGACCCCCCCCCCACUGCUGUUCUGUCUGGGCUGUUUUGUGAUUUAAUCAUUCGUUUCUUUUUGUGUGUGUGUGUGUGGGCCUCCUGGCCGGUAUUACAUUGCUAAUGGUUGUUAUUUCUUGUUUUGAUGUACAGGAGCUGUUGGUGCCACUGGUAGGAGUGACUGGCUGAUCCCGGUGGUGGUUCCCUUCAUUUUUUCGUUGCAGUGCACCUGGGUGUCAAUAGUCUGUGGUUUGUUUUGUUUUUCACGUGUGGUGGAACAUUAGGCCCCUUGCCCCUCAGCAAGUCAACUCCGCCAGUGAGCCCUCAGUCUCAGCCCCCUCAUGUAUGUUGCAUCUCAUGGUAACCUGAAUGAUUGAGAACGUGAGAGAUUUUAUUUGAACUUUGUGAUCGCGACUGCAUUUUAAGAAAAUAACUUAAUAUUAAAAUAAACUUGUAUAAUUUUGUUUAUGGAAUCACGUCUAGUGCCUGUGUUGUCCGGUCAUUGACCUGAGACUGGUGGUCCCUUUUUAAUUCCUGGGGUGAAAUUCCCUAAGUGGCGUUAUUUGCUUUUAAUAGUAAAAUUCCAGAUCUUUCCUCUGAUGCCACAUUUGCGUCAACUUCGGCCCACAAGAAAAGAAUAUUGGCUGAGUUAUAAUUCACUUUGGCCGAUUUAAAUUAGCUAAUUGAACAUCACAAAUCAUGCUUUCUUAACAUCUGUGUAUCAACCUUGACGAUAAUUUUACUGUGGAAAAAAUUACAUCUUGCCAAUAGUUCCUACAGAUGCGUGUAGGAAUAACAUCACAUUUGCCAGGCGGGCCGCUUAACAGAAGAAGAAUACACAAGACUUUGUUGACUGAAACUAGUUACCACUUGACGUGAACACGAUUGCCCUGCUAAAGUUACGCAAUCAGUAAACGUCAAUCAUCCGUUAUCAGUCAAUGGCGCUGAUGCUAUUAAGCAAAUAACAGCUCUAACCAGCAGCCUCUUUAUUUUCAGUCUUAAUAUAAUGGUUACAUCCUGUAUGAAUAAAGUCAAGACACUAUGGUAAGAUAAGUAGCAUUGUUUGUGCAAUCCUUUAAUAUAUAUAUGAAUAGUGUCUUCUCCAACCCACAUAACACCUACACUCCAUAUUCAAUUUCAACCCAAAUAGUACUUUUUGGGCUUUUUAUGUGUUAAAAUGCUGUAAACGGACCACGUUUCUAUUUCCUUUAUCUAGGACUGCAUGAACAUUGUGUUUUGUGUUACGGCUACUUGCUCUAAAUUGUAAAAUGAAAUAACAUCUACUUUAGAUGUAGUGAUGGUUGAUCCGUGCCUCAAUGUAUGCAACUGGUAUACAGGUUACUGGUGCAGCUCGUUAUUUUUAAUGAGCCCUUCUGUUUAAGCUCUACCACUGAUGCAUUGUAACAACUGCACCCAAAUAAGGGGCGAAACUUAUUUUUUAAGAAGAAAAUGCUGUUUUGAGAUUGUCGUUACUGAACGUGUCCCAGUUGUGGUGGUGAGCUGGUAUUUUUCAAUAGUACAGUAACAAAGUUCUACAAAUACUAGCUUUAUUUAAGGCAACUCAGAAGUUCUGGCUUUAUAUCUGCAUGUGUGAUCAGGCAUGAUUAUAUCUGACAUAAAAUAAAUCCAUUGAAAUAUAGAAAUUAUAGACUGUCCGCUUUCAUUAUCUUUUCAUUUGUGUUAUUGAUUUAUGCUUAACCUGUAAUAAUUUUACUUCUGACAGCACCCUGAAGGCAGCAUUACGCUCAUUUAUUAGUUCAAAUUUAUGCAAAAAAAAAUACUCGAUCAUGAAGUGAAGUUGGCUCAGUGAUGAUGAUGGACUCAUGAGAUUGGGUUAACUUUAAUCUGCAAGCCCACCGGGAUCACUCCCGCGACUCUCCAGAUGGCCGGCCCUCCGCUGGCCCUCUCUGAGGACCCCCCCCCCCCCACCUCCCGUUGGCCCUAACUGAGGCAAAACAACAAUUAGCCUCUCCACAUCAACUUCAGAUACUGAAGUUAGAUUCACUGGUUGGAACGAAAGAUUGGGGCUCUUUAAGCAGAAUAUUUGUAUGUGUUCAUUCAGAAUGCAUAAUAGCAUGUGUCAUCGAGCAGUUUUAUUGCGAUUAAGUCGGUUCUUGUAACUGAAGGCAGAAAGUGUCAUGGUGGAAGCACCCCGCCCACCCUUCUGUCAGGAACACGCUAUCAUUUCUGUGAGCACCGUCAGCUGCAAGCCGCAGGCUCAGCCGCCAACAAGUUGAGUUCAAUGUUCUCAAUUCCAAAUUCAGCACCUUCAAUGGCAUUAUAUUCCAUUAAUAAGUAAAAAUAAGUACUGACAGCUGUCACAGCCUAAAAGCCUGAUAGCAUGUAGUUGACCUGUCUUUACUAGGCAUACAACUUUUUUUCACUUGGCAAUGGUAUUGAUAUAAGCAGAGACAACAUUAAAUUAAUGAAGUGAGGUAGUAAAAUGUGUGGCAAUGACAAUUCUCUUACUAGCUGAGGUGAUAUUGGUUAUUCUGAUAUUAUACAUUUCAUGCCCAUAGAUGCUUUACAGUUUUUACAUAAUGCCUGAAGGCCGGUAAGACACUUUUAGUAGAAAGUAUCUGUCGCAGAACUGAGAAAAGUAUCUUUUGUAUUUACUGUGAAGACACACUUUCUGUUAUAUACCAUUUUAUCUUAUACGAUCAUGUAUUCUACUUGAGUGAAACCAUGUUGUUACGAUAGUUAAAGCGUAACACCAACUUCUCAUGCAACAUUACAGCUCAGGGAUCACUAUUGACCUCUAUCUUAAUAACCCUAACCCUCUAUUUUUACUUUAGAACACAGAAAAAAAUCUGAAAACUCACUUUGUCUAAGCUAAUGACUUUUCACACUUAUACACAUAUAUUUUUGCUACUUUACUUUUUUACCAUUAUGUUGUUACUUAAAACUUUUGCUUUGACAGCAUACAUAAUCCACAAAGGCACAUUUGACAUCCAAUUUUAGUGAUUGGUUUUAAUGAUAAUUGCAAGAAUGAAAUAUCCAAUGUUGUAAUCCACUUUGUAUUAAAAUAUUUGCUUACAGAAAGGGUUCACAAUAUAGUAUAUAUCUUCAAAUAUAUAUUUAAAGUAACAUAGCCAAAAUAAAGCAGCAUUUUCUGACCAAUCAGGCUCUCAUCAACCUUGUCGGCUCCUCAUCUACUGUUUUCAUCAAACCUUCCUAAGCAAUCCUCUUAUUUCAUUGACCAAUGUGCCCUAUCAGAUGUGUGAUGUCUUUCUAACCCCAGAUCCGCUACUCAUUUUUCUCUCCAGUUCACCAUGUUUCACUUUGGAUGACUAAUCCUCUCUGUGUUUUCCUGCUCAUAUAGUUUCUUCUUAUUUCUGGUCAUGCAUCAGUUAUGAUGGACUUCUGUAUCUCAGGUAAGUUGUAUUUAAGUUCUCCCCUGGUGCUUUAACCCACCGUUACCUUCAGUCAAAUAGUUUGAGGCUUUAUAAGCUAGUCUAAAGGUUAAUGCCAGUGUGACGCAUGGAAAAAAGCCGCCACUAUCUGGGACUACAUGGCGAUAUCAUUUUUUAUAUAGCAUUUUUCAGACCUUGAAUAAGAGAAAUUCUCACCGUCUUGGCUUAGUUUGACUUGUUGGUCUUACAUUUUUGCCUGGAUAAUUUUGUCCCAUCUCUAUCAAACGUUAUCUGUUUCGGUAGGUACCCAAUAGCUGACACUGAGACUGAAAAGUACGUGAAAGAAGGGGUUUUAAUUGGAAAUGGUUAGCAGGGAAAAGGGAGUGAGUGGGGGGGCAGGAUGAAUGGUGGAGCAGAGGAGGUGAAUGCAGCCAUAGAGAAUAAAUAGCAUAAGAAAAAAAAUAUAUAUAUAUAUAUAUAAUAUUAUUAUAUAAUAUAAUAUUUACUAUCUAUCGCCCAAAGUUGGCUGGGAUGGACUCCAGCCCCCCCGCGACCCUGUGUGCAGGAUAAGCGGUUUGACAAUGGAUGGAUGGAUGGAAUAUUUAGCAUCAGAGUGGCCAAGAUUUUGACCGCGGAGUUGACGGAACAAUCUGGCGAUGAGUCAGAAGAAAGACGGAGUAUUUGUGCUGCUUCACCUUAAUGGCCAGUUUGAAAGCAGGUGUGUAGAUGAGCCCAGAUGUCAGGUGAUGUAAGCCAAACCCCCGCCCCACACACUCACCGACACAACAGGGGAGGUGACACAGGGAACACAGGGAAAACACCCCAAAAUGACAGGUGUCACAGCAGAGCCGUGACAUUAUCCAUAAAAGAUCGCAGGUGGGCUCGAGUCAAUCCCAGAUAACAUCAGGCGAGAGAGGGGGUACAUUCUGGACGGGUUGCUAAUCCAUCACAGGGAUGACAUGGAGACAAACAGCCUCAAUCUCACAUCCACAAACCUACGGGCAAAACAAUUAACUUAACCGCCAGAGCAAGUCUUUGGCUGGUGGGAGGAAGCAAGAGAACCCUGAGGGAAGCCCUCGCAGAGACAAGCAUAACAUGCAAAAUCCACACAGAAAGGCCGUGCUGUGAGGCGACGGUGCGAACCCCCCGAUAUUCUACCACUGAUCAGAAGACUGAUUUGGAGAAAGCCCUCAAAAUUAGUCCAAACUCUCAGGGUGCAAAGUGACAAGUGCCCCGACCGUGGCAACUUUCCCAUUGAUUUUUUUCUAAGAGGUUGCUGCCAUCACAUUGAUUUAAAGAAGUAAACAUCUGCUCCACGCAAAAUUAUUCUUGAAUUUUGCUGUUCUGUGGACUAUGGUUUUAGCCGGCCGGACAGAACAGAUACUCCCAAUUAUCUCCAUUGAUCAGACUAGGGACAAGGUUGUGACUUUCUCCACUCUUAUUAUCUCUGCCAGGAGGAUCAUGUCCUGAUGUGAAACAAUGAGCUCGUGUCCGUGAUUCAGUCUGUGAGGUAGUGUGUCAAUGAUGAGUGUUCCAUAAGCUGACAUUAGUAAAGAACUAUCCAAAAUUGAAACUUUAAAAAAUAUAUAGGCAGCUGCAAGUCUUUUUCUUUUUCUGUACCUCCACAACAAUAGAAAAUUUGGUCCAGUAAAUGCUAAUAAAAACCCUACUUUUCAUAAUGUGUUUUUGAUGUCUUGACAGUAAAAACUUGCAAAUAACUUGAUCUUAUUUGAGAAAUAAUUUAGGUUGGACAACAGUUUAUAUUUUCGUUCUAAAGCUAAAGGUCUACUCAUCAUUUCUUCAAGGUAACCGGGUUCAAUAUAUGGGAUAAAAUAUGCUGGCGGAAACCUGGUCAAGAGAGGGUUGGCUAAAAUUGCCAUCUCUAUUUUGAAAUAGAGAGUAAAGAUCUACUUAGUAAUUAUCCAGCUGACAGUGAUCACUAGCAUGCACCGAGGAGAAGGAAGGUGUCGGGAGUGUCUCGCAUUGACGCAGCAAUGCUUACCAAUGAGAAAUCAUGCUGUUCCAAGAACAUUCGUCAAUUUCUGCCUCUCAAUACUGUCUACUUAAGAGUGCCUCCCUUUGCUGUCACGGGGCAUAAAUCCCCUAUUCAUUUGUAACCUAAACUGAAAUUGUUGGUAUGUGGUUGCAGAUUAUGGUUCAAGGUCAAUGAAUAACAAACAUCUUCAGCAACUGUGGCCACUGAGACUGGGCACAAGUCAAGUCAAGUCAAGUCAUUUUAUUUUGUAUAGCCCAGAAUCGCAAAUUACAAAUUUGCCUCAGAGGGCUUUACAGUCUGUACACAUACGACAUCCUCUGCCCCGAAACCCACCAUCGGCACAGGAAAAACUCCCCAAAAAAUGAAAAAACCCUUACAAGAGGGAAAAAAGGGAAGAAACCUUAGGGAGAACGUC
ensembl:lncRNA